rnacentral:tRNA from 1 species
GCCCGCGUGGUGGAACGGUAGACACAGGGGACUUAAAAUCCCUAGGCCGGAAGGCCAUGCCGGUUCGAAUCCGGCCGCGGGUACCA